rnacentral:rRNA from 1 species
AUAGGGGAGCCGGAGGGAAACCGAGUCUUAAUUGGGCGUUAAGUUGCAGGGUAUAGACCCGAAACCCGGUGAUCUAGCCAUGGGCAGGUUGAAGGUUGGGUAACACUAACUGGAGGACCGAACCGACUAAUGUUGAAAAAUUAGCGGAUGACCUGUGGCUGGGGGUGAAAGGCCAAUCAAACCGGGAGAUAGCUGGUUCUCCCCGAAAGCUAUUUAGGUAGCGCCUCGUGAAUUCAUCUCCGGGGGUAGAGCACUGUUUCGGCUAGGGGGCCAUCCCGGCUUACCAACCCGAUGCAAACUGCGAAUACCGGAGAAUGUUAUCACGGGAGACACACGGCGGGUGCUAACGUCCGUCGUGAAGAGGGAAACAACCCAGACCGCCAGCUAAGGUCCCAAAGUCAUGGUUAAGUGGGAAACGAUGUGGGAAGGCCCAGACAGCCAGGAUGUUGGCUUAGAAGCAGCCAUCAUUUAAAGAAAGCGUAAUAGCUCACUGGUCGAGUCGGCCUGCGCGGAAGAUGUAACGGGGCUAAACCAUGCACCGAAGCUGCGGCAGCGAACGUAUCACCCAAGACAACUUUACGGAGUUGACGAUUGACGGAGCGAAGCGACGUCAAAGCGUUCAUUAAAGUCGAGUUGGCUUAGGGAUACGUUCGUUGGGUAGGGGAGCGUUCUGUAAGCCUGUGAAGGUGGCCUGUGAGGGUUGCUGGAGGUAUCAGAAGUGCGAAUGCUGACAUAAGUAACGAUAAAGCGGGUGAAAAGCCCGCUCGCCGGAAGACCAAGGGUUCCUGUCCAACGUUAAUCGGGGCAGGGUGAGUCGACCCCUAAGGCGAGGCCGAAAGGCGUAGUCGAUGGGAAACGGGUUAAUAUUCCCGUACUUGGUGUUACUGCGAAGGGGGGACGGAGAAGGCUAUGUUGGCCGGGCGACGGUUGUCCCGGUUUAAGCGUGUAGGUGUGUGUUCCAGGUAAAUCCGGUUCACUUUAACACUGAGGCGUGACGACGAGGCACUACGGUGCUGAAGCAACAAAUGCCCUGCUUCCAGGAAAAGCCUCUAAGCAUCAGGUAACAUCAAAUCGUACCCCAAACCGACACAGGUGGUCAGGUAGAGAAUACCAAGGCGCUUGAGAGAACUCGGGUGAAGGAACUAGGCAAAAUGGUGCCGUAACUUCGGGAGAAGGCACGCUGACACGUAGGUGAAGUGAUUUACUCAUGGAGCUGAAGUCAGUCGAAGAUACCAGCUGGCUGCAACUGUUUAUUAAAAACACAGCACUGUGCAAACACGAAAGUGGACGUAUACGGUGUGACGCCUGCCCGGUGCCGGAAGGUUAAUUGAUGGGGUCAGCGCAAGCGAAGCUCCUGAUCGAAGCCCCGGUAAACGGCGGCCGUAACUAUAACGGUCCUAAGGUAGCGAAAUUCCUUGUCGGGUAAGUUCCGACCUGCACGAAUGGCGUAAUGAUGGCCAGGCUGUCUCCACCCGAGACUCAGUGAAAUUGAACUCGCUGUGAAGAUGCAGUGUACCCGCGGCAAGACGGAAAGACCCCGUGAACCUUUACUAUAGCUUGACACUGAACAUUGAGCCUUGAUGUGUAGGAUAGGUGGGAGGCUUUGAAGUGUGGACGCCAGUCUGCAUGGAGCCGACCUUGAAAUACCACCCUUUAAUGUUUGAUGUUCUAACGUGGACCCGUAAUCCGGGUUGCGGACAGUGUCUGGUGGGUAGUUUGACUGGGGCGGUCUCCUCCUAAAGAGUAACGGAGGAGCACGAAGGUUGGCUAAUCCUGGUCGGACAUCAGGAGGUUAGUGCAAUGGCAUAAGCCAGCUUGACUGCGAGCGUGACGGCGCGAGCAGGUGCGAAAGCAGGUCAUAGUGAUCCGGUGGUUCUGAAUGGAAGGGCCAUCGCUCAACGGAUAAAAGGUACUCCGGGGAUAACAGGCUGAUACCGCCCAAGAGUUCAUAUCGACGGCGGUGUUUGGCACCUCGAUGUCGGCUCAUCACAUCCUGGGGCUGAAGUAGGUCCCAAGGGUAUGGCUGUUCGCCAUUUAAAGUGGUACGCGAGCUGGGUUUAGAACGUCGUGAGACAGUUCGGUCCCUAUCUGCCGUGGGCGCUGGAGAACUGAGGGGGGCUGCUCCUAGUACGAGAGGACCGGAGUGGACGCAUCACUGGUGUUCGGGUUGUCAUGCCAAUGGCACUGCCCGGUAGCUAAAUGCGGAAGAGAUAAGUGCUGAAAGCAUCUAAGCACGAAACUUGCCCCGA